UACGUAGGUGGCGAGCGUUAUCCGGAAUUACUGGGUGUAAAGGGCGUGUAGGCGGCACUGUAAGUCAGAUGUGAAAUCUCCCGGCUCAACCGGGAGCGUGCAUUUGAAACUGCAGUACUGGAGUGUUAGAGGGGAAAGCGGAAUUCCUAGUGUAGCGGUAAAAUGCGUAGAGAUUAGGAGGAACACCAGUGGCGAAGGCGACUUUCUGGCCAUCAACUGACGCUGAGGCGCGAAAGCGUGGGGAGCAAACAGG
rnacentral:rRNA from 1 species